rnacentral:snoRNA from 1 species
GCUACUGUGAUGAGGGAGGGAACGGCCACGAUUUUCUGGCCCUGCCUGGUCGGCCGGCCGGGCCUGAUAGU